AACUUUGUGCAGUGGCAGUGCAGUAGCCAAUGAGGUUUAUCUGAGGCAUGAUUAUAGCUAAUUGAAAAGAAAAAAAAAAGAAAUUGGGAAAACCUUCCCACUCCAAGGUGCUGGCCCACUUUUUUUUUCUCUCCAAA